GUAGGUGAACCUGCGGAAGGAUCAUUAAUGAGUUAGGGUCUUCUAGGCCCGAUCUCCAACCCUUUGUAUAACUACCAUGUUGCUUUGGCGGGCCCGUCUUUCACCGGACCGUCGGGGGUCUCUUGACCUCUGGCCAGUGCUCGUCAGUAGCCUAACAAACCCUUUAAACCAUGUUAAAUCUGAAAAUAGUUAAAAAUAAACUAAAACUUUCAACAACGGAUCUCUUGGUUCUG
rnacentral:misc_RNA from 1 species